rnacentral:rRNA from 1 species
UUGAACGCUGGCGGAAUGCUUUACACAUGCAAGUCGAGCGGCAGCACGGGGGCAACCCUGGUGGCGAGCGGCGAACGGGUGAGUAAUACAUCGGAACAUGCCCAGUCGUGGGGGAUAACACUUCGAAAGAAGUGCUAAUACCGCAUACGUCCUGAGGGGGAAAGCGGGGGAUCGCAAGACCUCGCGCGAUUGGAGUGGCCGAUGUCAGAUUAGCUAGUUGGUGGGGUAAAGGCCUACCAAGGCAACGAUCUGUAGCUGGUCUGAGAGGAUGAUCAGCCACACUGGGACUGAGACACGGCCCAGACUCCUACGGGAGGCAGCAGUGGGGAAUUUUGGACAAUGGGGGCAACCCUGAUCCAGCCAUUCCGCGUGAGUGAAGAAGGCCUUCGGGUUGUAAAGCUCUUUCGGCAGGAACGAAACGGUGAGCUCUAACAUAGCUUGCUAAUGACGGUACCUGAAGAAGAAGCACCGGCUAACUACGUG